rnacentral:rRNA from 1 species
CGCUCUUUGAGUCAAAGAAGAGUCGGACCUUCCCGGUGAGUGAACGCACUUAAACGGACGUGGUAAAUUGUGUUAAUGUAGCUAAAUUAUGAUCCAGUAAUUUUGGAUUCUGUGAAUGGAUUGACGAGUCUCCUACUGUCUCUAGUUUGCUGUAGAGAAGUUGAAUUGAAGGUGCAAGUGCCUUCAUGGGGAAGAAAGACGAGAAGACCCCGUGAAGUUAGAAAUGUGGGUAGCUUUUAGUUAAAUAGAAUUUUGGUUGGACGUUUUAGCUGGGGCAGCAAGGGGGCAAGACUAGACUCCACUAACCUUACAAAUAGGUGUAUAAGGAUCCAAUAAAUUGUUGGGGCUUGAUUAGUAGAAGGAGUUACUCCGGGGAUAACAGCGUAAUCUGCCUUGAGAGUUCUUAUUGGUGGGCAGGUUUGCGACCUCGAUGUUGGCUCAGGGUAUCCUUAAACUUGCAGGAGGUUUAGAGGGUUGGUUUGUUCGACCAGUU